CUACAAAACUAAAGUGAAUAAACAAUACUAAGCUAAAGAGGGGUACUCACAAGAUGGGGGAACUGACAACAGAGGGGGAAGACAGGCUGAGGGAAUCCAGGGGCAGACGGAGGCGAGGCAGGAAAAACAGGCUGGAGACUGAAGCAGGGCUGGUGAGAAUCCGGUAGGAGAACUGAGUCCAUGUGGGAAAAAUCCAGGAGGUGGUAAAACAGAGUCCAAAGGUGGGGAAGCAAAGUCCAUGUGGAAACUGAAUCUCGGAGGGCAACAGAAUUUAAGAAGGGACUGUGAAUCUGUGGUCCAGCGGGGAGUGAAUGGAAGCAUGGAGCUUAAAUACUGGAGGUGGAUCCACCCACCGAUCCCUACAUGCUGCAGCUCAAGCACACCAGCUCACCUUCAACUCGAAGCCUCAACCUGCUGGUAAACAGGAUUGGCCUUCUAGCAUGUAAAUAACAUCGUAUGAACAUGUUAACAAGUGUCAUGUAAACCCUGGCAGCUGACUUUGCCUCCCCUGCACUGGAUCCAGUGUUACAGUCCCACUGCUGUCAGGAGCCACCGGCCAGACCGACAGCUGCCUGGAGAGAGAUCCUCGUGAGUCCAAAGAGAACCUUAGUUGGGGUCCUUUGGGUGUCAGCAUGACUGUAAAUCCUCAUCCAGCCUGUGAUGUCCAAAAUGUUCCCGUUGCACGUAGAUAUAUUCACACUGAGACUGCAGAUUCUACCUACAGCAACCCCAACGCCUACUAUGGCAUGCCAUUCCAAAGAAUUUGACAACAUAAGUAAUUACUGUUGAAAGAGGGCAAACACAGAUUCUCCUUAAUGUGUGUGUGAUUCAUUGACAGGAAACAGUAACGGAUAGAAACAUGUUUCCCUUGGAUAAUCAUGCUUGAUAUUAUGAGCAACUGUUGUAGGUCUGGCUUGGAUUGAUUUCAGACUACUAAGAAUGGCACUGCUGCGGUUUUGCUUCAGUUAAUCUUCUUUUGAUUUUUGUCAUUAGUUAUUGCAGCAAAGAUAUGUUCCUGAUGUGAAAUACAAGCAUAUGUAGAGUCGAAUGUAAACUCACUCUGCCGCUGGAUGUUGCCGCCAGAGAUAUGCCUUGCAUAUACAGCAAUGUUUCCGUCUCCAUGACAGCAAAUACAACUUGCCCAUAUGUCAUCAGGUGGCUGAUAAUGGACACGUCUUGUAGUGAUGAUGUCACUACCUCCAUACAAAGGAGAGCUCCAGCAUUAAAUAGAGUGUGGAAGAGACGUCUCAUUCGCAAAAGAGCUCUGUGUUGAGUUAGGGAUUAGGGGGGAAUUAGGGUGCCAGUGUCACCUCCAAAUAGUUCUUCCAUCUUUUAAAGUCACAUAAAAGUUAAAUCUAUGCACUUGGGCAGCGACAAGAACUCUGUGACAUUGUAUUUUCCAUUUGGAUUCAAUAGCCAAGAAAAAUAUGGCAUAACCAGCAGUGCUACAUCAAAGUCAGGGGUUGCAAAGGGAGGAGAAGGGAAAGAGAAAGUGACUGAGAGGGAGGAGGGGUACAGUUCAUGCUGCUCCUGUGUACCCCACUCCCUCUUCCCGCCCCCUGGCAAGUAACAGGCAUGUACUGAAUCAGUGCACCAAUGCUGAAGUUAUGAGCUGGGACGGCGUCCUAUGUAGCCUCUGCAGCCAUACACCCUUCACACUUGACACUUCUCCCUGCAGUCCUUCAAUACAUUAACAUAACAAACUUUUCCACUUGAGAUAGUUCAUUUGUAGUUCUCUUUGGUUAUGUUGAUGUACUUGUGGAUAGAUGGACACUGAUGGGAUAGUCUCUGUGGUCUGUAUGUGUCACAGGAGGCCAGGCUGCAUUCUGGUCUCCAGGCCGCUCAUAAAGACCCCACCACUUGUGCAAGCUCCUUUCAUGUUACCUGGCUUAGGGCAGUGCUUAGUGGGUCACAGUGUUUGUGACUGUUGCUUUUUUUUUUACACUUGCUCUAUUCCAAGACCUGAUACAAUACCUUGACAUUAAAUCUGCGAUAAUUAAUUUUCUUACAUUUACAGUGGAUUACAUGGCCUGUUGUAUGUGACUGGGGCUGCACAUAGUGAUAAUGCCACACCCAAACUCUUAAAUUUAAGGCUCUAUGGAGUUUGUGUGUGUGUGUUUUGUUUUUGUUUUGUUUUUUUUUAGCAUUUUUCAAGUGAUUCUUUGUUUUUACUGCCCCACAAUUUUACUGUUUAGUCUCAGUGUUAUUGCUUUGUAAGAGUGUAAUAUGCAAAUGCACCUAGAGAUGUACAAUAUAAGAUUUUGCCAACAUGUUCCAACUCAUUUUGGCGAGCUCCUUGGACUGUCCUUCCCACUGUAGUGUUUGUGGCAGAGUCUAAUGAGUGUAUCAACUGGGCCCUAUUUAAAUUGGCUCCGAGAAGUCAGCAGCUAUAGUCAAUCGUAAUCACUCACAUGAAGGUAAGAGGUCAUGCCACUAAGAAAUUUGAUCAACAGAACUUUCUGCAUCCUUAAAACUGUAUGUAUGUUUUUGAUCCAACAGUUUUAGUCGUAAUUCCAGAAGACGUAAAGUAAAACUGUGAAAGAAACAAAAUGCUGGAUUGUUACAUGUGUUUCAAUCAUUCCAUCAUAGAAAGGUCAGACUUGUAGGAGACCUUGGAAACUCAAGAUUACCGUGUUAUACAUGAUCUUUACAAGUGUAUCUAAACUUUUGUUUACUGCUGUAGAUCCACAUGCUUUUUCUUCCUAAUUGCAGUCUCUCCUGUAGCGGUAUUUAUAUAUUAUCAUGCUUACUGUUGAUGUUCCACUGGCAGGUGCAGGCAUAAAAUAAAAUCCUUUUCAAACGUAUACAGUCAGUGGACAAAGUGGGAAAACUACCUUAAAAAACUUGUAAAACAUGCCAUUUUCAAUUCCAUGUAACAUUUUCAAACAAAAUUUUAAACUUCUAGUUCAACAGACAUCAUUGGUCAUUUAUCUAUGUAUGAUAUUUGAUUUCAGAGCCGUUUUCCACCAGUGCAGACAUUAAUACCAAUAUCAUUGUGUAUCCCUUGCUGAAAUAGACAGUUUUAUUCAAUAAAAAACACACUAUGUGCUUCUUGCUCAGAACUGGAAAACCAGACAGAUAAUGUUUGGAACAUUCAGAUGGACAUAGUUGAGCAUUUAGUAGAUGAGACAGACUUUAGAAGUUAACAGAGACCAGAAAAAUAGCUGAAAAGAGCAUGACUUACAUUCUAGAGGUAGUUAAAAACACAACUUCAAAUGAACGCCAGUGUUGCUCUGUUUGCUGCCAUGUCACCAUAUCAAGUUAAUAGGUGAUAAUGUGUCAGUGCGUGUUUCUGCUCAAAGUGGCCAAAAAACUAUCUGACAAAGAGUGAAAGAAAAAGACAGAAAGAAGUGCAACAGCUGUCCAGACAGCCUUGCUCAACGGAAGGAUGAUUCCUCCUGUUUUGAAUUUGAUAGACACUCAUAUCAUCGCAGCUCAAAGCCUUAACUUCUGCUGUGUCUAAAGCACAUCGGAGGGCACAUACAUGUCCUCCUGAUGCAUAUUAUACAGAGUGUAGACAUUGCAUCUGCUUCUCGCCAUCAACUUUGCAGUUGCACCUGCGGAUGGGCCAUCCACUACAACCUUGACAGAUAGCGAUGAGACUGUGUUGUGUUGUUAUUUAGGAAGGUGACGGUGGUUUCUGUGAACUCUGCUGCACACUCUACCUUGAACUUUACUGUUUGGUCACGCUGAGGACAGCUGGGGUCAGAUAAUCCCCAUCCCUGACGUCUGCAUUCAGCCCCUAAUAGAAAACAGACACCAUUAAUAGCAGAUUCCUGCCUGUGAUUAAUGAUAUUGAUUCAGUUUUCCAAGUCUGUGUUUUUCUCCUCCUGAAAUAUUUCAUCAGUGUUGCCAUGGCCAAUUAGUCUGAUUGCUAUGCACUGGCAUCAAAGAGCAGGCCUGAUGGGUCCUGGGCUGAGAGCUCGACAUGCACAAGUACUGGAAAACAAGCAUGAUGUCUCUUAUUAGAACCUUUCUCACAUAAUCAAACAAGACUUGGGAAAUGUCAGCUAUUUCAGCUAUGCUUUUACGUCUGCUUUCAUAACUGGUUACGAGGACUCAAAUCUACCCUAAAUAGCCACCAGGGGGUUGCAAUAGGUGAGAGCUGCCUGAUUCGGCGACAUGGAGGUGCAGAGGUAGAGGGAUGAGAGGACUGUAAAUACACAUGCCAUCAUAAAGCACAUUUCAUUACGCAAAUUCAAAUGUACUAUGGUUGAUUGGGAGACAUGAUCACAUGGCUGCAGAGAUUAAAGUGGAAAGUGGAAAUCUUUUCAUAAUUAAAUCGCUCACAAGGAAAUGUCACUCAAAAAGAAAAUAUCAUUCAGCGGGGGAUUUAGGGAUGCAGCACCAAAAGGACAAGUGGAAACAAUUAGAAGUGGACUGAGCAGGAAAAGACUGGUCAGCGAACCACAAACACCUACAACAUUCUUCUUCUUUCAGCUUUUGCAUUGUGCUAAGCGACUGAAUCAGCUGCACCUUAGGACACCUGACACAGGUACACCCUCUGUUCCGUGAAUCAUUUUCCUAUUCCAUUCAAUUGGAAAUGCACCAUGGAGACAAAUGUUAGAAAAACAAGAUGCCAUGAGACAAAACAUGAUUUGACAUUUGAUUGUAACUCUCAUUUUGGCCAUGAUUUGAUUUGAUGGUCAUAAGUUUUUGCUCUUGUUUAUGCAAGAUGUAUCUUAAGUCAUGUGCAGAGGUACAAAUCCAUUACUGGGGCUUUAUUUUUUCCCAAAUUUGACAUCGGUUUGCCAGACACUGCAUUGCAGUAUAUGUCACAAAAAAAUAAGGCAAAAAUAUAGGCAGAUAGAGGCUUAAUUUUUGCAUUGUAGUUUGUUUGGCUUUUUCAUUUAAACUUGCUGCUAAUUGAUUGAGUGUCAUAUUAAUGGGGUCUGUCAUGACUGUAAAAAGCCUUCUGAAUUUAAAUGAUGAACCCCAAACAAUACUAAUGAUCCAACACAAACCUGAACACAGGCUGCCUUUCUUGACUGUUAUUGGAAACAUAUCAUGCACUGAGUCUUUUCACUGUGUGGUAUUCCUUUAACCCCUUGACGCCUAUUGUCGCAAAUUCACAACAAACCACUUUCAUUCAGACUGCAGCCGAGAUGGCGUAUGCAUUCCCCCAGUGCCGGUUUGUGCAUAUUAAAUACGUACCUCGGAACCUUUUGCAAGCAGUGGUUUCUUGUAGGAGCGGUCGGAGUGGGACCUAAUUACUAUAUAUCUGUUAUUAUUAUUAUAUAUCUGUUCUAUGCGUAAUAGAUAAGUCAACAGUCUCCACUUAUUUUAGCAUCAGCUGGAAAGCAAAAACACUCCAAAGUUGUUUCUAAAAAAAAUUUAAUUGUAAAUAAAUUCAAGCGUCAAGGGGUUAAAACUGGAAAGAAAAAAACAUCAUGAAAAAAAUGGAUUUAAUAUCAAUUGGUUAGGUUUCUUUUCAGUUAUUUUUGUUUUAAAACCCACAUUUUUACAGUUUUGCUCUACUCUGACCACUCUAAUCAGCCUCAUUUCCAGUAGUGGCUGGCAGCUUUUUAAUUUAUUUUUUGUUAAAAAAAAAUUCCAAUAAUCAUGCUGUUGGAGAUCAAAUCAAUGGAUUGACAAAGUUAGCAACUAGCCGGUAACCACAAAGUACUGCAUAGCAUUAAGGUGCCUAAAUCGAACUAAGUGACAAAAUCAAACAUGUGGAAAAAAAAUAUUGUUCCUACAAGGGACUCAGAGCUCAGUCUCCACAAUGAAAGUCCUGUGAAUGAGGGCCUUAUAAAGUGAACAAACUUCUAUACAUUUGUCUAUAUCAAAUAUUGGUGGAGGUGGCACCAAUGCAAGGGGACAACUUGUGUGUAUUUUAAAUGGCAGUAUCUGACGCCCUGGAAAUGAAAACAGGUUGACCUGAUGCAUGAGUGCUGAAGCUCUGAGCAACCGUUUCCUGAUUGAAUGCUGACAUCUCCGACUGUUCGCUGCAUGUCACUCCAAUACUAUUUCUUAACAUAUUUCCUGUCACUCUCCGCUGUCCAAAAAGGCCCCAAAUGAAAUGUAUUUUUUAAAAGUAUGAGGUUAUCAAGACAUGAUAAUAAAUAAUUGCUGUAUAUUACAGAAAAAUACAUUUCAGUCUCACUGCCACCUGUCAUGCUGUAACACAUUUAUCUCUUCAUAAUUUUUCUUUCUCUGUCACUAAUAUGUUCUUUUCACAAUAUCAUAAAUAAAACAUAAUAGCUGCAUGUGUAUCUCUGAAUAAAGUAUAUAUGGAAGCGUCAAGCACACAGUUACUGUUCUGAUACUGGAUGUUUUCAGUGUGUGAUGAAUGUCACUCACAGCAUAUGUUCAAGUAACAUGCUGAUUGACUGCAGGGAUAGCAUGAAAUUAGCCUUAUUUUGUAGUAAAACAUUGCAAAAGUUGUUAAAUUGCGCAAUGUUGCUAAAAAAUUACUAUCUGUUGACACAGUACAAAAAGAAGACAUCUUGUUUGCCAUUACUUGAUAAGACUUUACAGAAAUUCUCGUCACUGAUUUGACUAAUGUGCAACUAAUUAAAGUGAAUUACCUUAACACACGA